AGGGAGGGAGGGAGGAAGGAGGUGAGGCCGGGAAGAUGCCACUGCCGGGGGCGGGGCGCGGCCGGGGAUCCGGGAGAGGGACUGCAGCGGUGCUUGGUGGGGGCUGGGGCUGCAGGGUCACUUAUUUGAGGGUCAGGUGUGUAUGUCCCGGGCUGUGACUGCCACUUGCCUACAUCUUCCCGGUACCACCCACGGGGCAGAGACGGAGGCGGAGGGCAGGGGACUGCAGUACCGUCCCCGAAGCGGGACGCGAACCGGCAGAGUUGGGAGAAGAGCCUCCGCGCCCGGGAGCUAAGCUUGCUGCCCCCGCGUGCAGCGCCCGCGUGCACCCAACCCAGAGAGGGGGCGACAGGGCGGAGGCGGUGGCCCCCGGAAGGUGUCUGGGACCGGACCGGCUGCACGUGAGCCCAGCGCGGAGUCAUGUGCACCGGCUCAGCCCGGUUCGGCGGCCGGACGUGCUGCGUAUCAACAAAAUGAAACUCAGGGCGACAGGAGGGCAGAUAGCUCCAGGUCCUCUGAACGCCCAUCCCCGGCGGAACGACCUCCCCACCACCGCUGUCUCCCGCCGCAGACCCUCCGCGCGGCCAGAGCCCGCGGGGCAAGUUGCAGCCCUGGCGCGCCCCCGCCCGCCCGCGCCCCCUCACCGGCCCGGGGGCGCUUUGCCGCAGUCAUUAAUAAAGAAGGUCGCCAAGCUCA